CACGUAGGGGGCAAGCGUUGUCCGGAUUUAUUGGGCGUAAAGAGCUCGUAGGUGGCUGAGUAAGUCGGAUGUUAAAUCCCCAGGCUCAACCUGGGACACCACCCGAUACUGCUCUGGCUAGAGUCCGGUAGGGGAGCGUGGAAUUCCUGGUGUAGCGGUGAAAUGCGCAGAUAUCAGGAGGAACACCAGCGGCGAAGGCGGCUCUCUGGGACGGUACUGACGCUGAGACGCGAAAGCGUGGGGAGCGAACAGG
rnacentral:rRNA from 1 species